CACAGAGGGAGAGGAGAGGUUGCAUAGCUAGCUAGGCUAAUGCUAGGCUCGAAGAACACGGUUCCAUUUCAUUCCGCUAUGCGGAAUGCCUGCCCUUUACAUUUUCCGAUUCGGCUCGCUGCAAAUAAAUGUAUUAGGUAUCUUUGUGUCCAGAAUAAAAAUGGGGAAACCAAGUUUUCCCUCGGAUGAGUUUAGUUUUGUAUUAUUGUGUAGCUAUUUAUAAAGCUAACGUUAUCAUAGGUGGCUAAGCUAGCCGUGUCUAGUCAGGCAGAGGUUUUGCAUUGGUCGCUGUGUUUACGUUUAGGCCCGUGUUGCAAUGCAGCGGACCACUGCUUGUGGAUAAGAAUAGGGGAAUUUACUCUCGACAUUCUCACCCGAUGUGCACAGACGUUCUUACCUUGGAAAUGUAUUAAAAAAUGAUGUAGGUGUAAAUGAUAGUUAAUUGAUUGGACCCAGUCACACAUAGAUGACCAAAACCGCUAGUUUAGUAUAGUAGCCUACAUAUCAGGUAUCUUUCUAGUGUAGUAUAGUAGCCUACAUAUUGGGUAUCUUUCUAGUGUAGUAUAGCAGCCUACAUAUCAGGUAUCUUUCUAGUGUAGUAUAGUAGCCUACAUAUCAGGUAUCUUUCUAGUGUAGUAUAGUAGCCUACAUAUCAGGUAUCUUUCUAGUGUAGUAUAGCAGCCUACAUAUUGGGUAUCUUUCUAGUGUAGUAUAGCAGCCUACAUAUCAGGUAUCUUUCUAGUUUAGUAUAGUAGCCUACAUAUCAGGUAUCUUUCUAGUUUAGUAUAGUAGCCUACAUAUCAGGUAUCUUUCUAGUUUAGUAUAGUAGCCUACAUAUCAGGUAUCUUUCUAGUGUAGUAUAGUAGCCUACAUAUCAGGUAUCUUUCUAGUUUAGUAUAGUAGCCUACAUAUCAGGUAUCUUUCUAGUUUAGUAUAGUAGCCUACAUAUCAGGUAUCUUUGCAAGUCAAAGUUGAUAAAAUUAUUUUGUUGUCAACUAAAAUGUUAAGAUACUUGUGGCCGCAAAGUUCUUUGCGCUUUCUAUAUGUAUUUUUGCCAGCAACAACGAAACGGUACAAUGUUUGGUUAACUGUAGACUUGGUGUCUGAAAGUGGGUGUUGCAAAAUAAGCUGGUGGAUCAACAGGGAUGGGGUGUAACAUCAGCGCUCCAUUAUUGGUUAGACCAGCUAUAGCCAGGUGCACCACAUGUCAGUUUAAUGUUUACAUAGCAGGUUAGGACAAUAAUGGGGCAGGUUAGGAGAAUGAGGGUAGGGUUAGGACAAUUAACAUGGAAGGUUAGGAGAAUGAGGGUAGGGUUAGGACAAUUAACAUGGAAGGUUAGGAGAAUGAGGGUAGGGUUAGGACAAUUAUUGUGGCAGGUUAGGAGAAUGCGGGUAGGGUUAGGACAAUUUUUUUAUUUCACCUUUAUUUAACCAGGUAGGCAAGUUGAGAACAAGUUCUCAUUUACAAUUGCGACCUGGCCAAGAUAAAGCAAAGCAGUUUGACACAUACAACAACACAGAGUUACACAUGGAGUAAAACAAACAUACAGUCAGAUAAUACAAUUGAAAAAUAAGUCUAUAUACAAUGUGAACAAAUGAGGUGAGAUAAGGGAGGUAAAGGCAAAAAAAGCCAUGGUGGCGAAGUAAAACACUGGAAUGGUAGAUUUGCAGUGGAAUAAUGUGCAAAGUAGCAAAAUAAAUACAGUAUGGGAAGAGGUAGUUAUUUGGGCUAAAUUAUAAUGUAUGUACAGGUGCAGUAAUCUGUGAGCUGCUCUGACAGCUGGUGCUUAAAGCUAUUGAGGGAGAUAAGUUUCCAGUUUCAAAGAUUUUUGUAGUUCGUUCCAGUCAUUGGCAACAGAGAACUGGAAGGAGAGGUGGCCAAAGGAGGAAUUGGUUUUGGGGUGACCAGAGUGAUAUACCUGCUGGAGUGCGUGCUACAGGUGGGUGCUGCUAUGGUGCCCAGUGAGCUGAGAUGAGGGCGGACUUUACCUAGCAGGGUCUUGUAGAUGACCUGGAGCCAGUUGGUUUGGCGACGAGUAUGAAGCGAGGGCCAGCCAACGAGAGCGUACAGGUCGCAGUGGUGGGUAGUAUAUGGGGCUUUGGUGAUAAAACGGAUGGCACUGUAAUACACUGCAUUCAAUUUAUUGAGUAGGGUAUUGGAGGCUAUUUUGUAAAUGACAUCGCCAAAGUCGAGGCUCGGUAGGAUUUUCAGUUUUACAAGGGUAUGUUUGGCAGCAUGAGUGAAGGAUGCUUUGUUGCGAAAUAGGAAGCCAAUUCUAGAUUUAACUUUGGAUUGGAGAUGUUUGAUGUGAGUCAGGAAGGAGAGUUUACAGUCUAACCAGACAUCUAGGUAAUUGUAGUUGUCCACAUAUUCUAAGUCAGAACUGUCCAGAGUAGUGAUGCUGGACGGGCGGGUAGGUGUAGGCAGUGAGCGGUUGAAAAGCAUACAUUUAGUUUUACUUGUAUUUAAGAGCAGUUGGAGGCCACGGAAGGAGAGUUGUAUGGCAUUGAAGCUCGUCUGGAGGGUUGUUAACACAGUGUCCAAAGAAGGGCCAGAAGUAUACAGAAUGGUGUCGUCUGCGUAGAGGUGGAUCAGAGACUCACCAGCAGCAAGAGCGACAUCAUUGAUGUAUACAGAGAAGAGAGUCGGCCCAAGAUUUGAACGCUGUGGCACCCCCAUAGAGACUGGGGGUGCCACAGGUCUGUAGCAGUUUGGGUCUAGAGUGUCACCCCCUUUGAAGAGGGGGAUAACCGCAGCAGCUUUCCAAUCUUUCGGAAUCUCAGACGACACGAAAGAGAGGUGGCAGGUCAAUUAACGUGGCAGGUUAGGAGAAUGAGGGUAGGGUUAGGCAAAUAGUCAGGGUUAGGCUUAGCUAAAAUGCAACAGCUGUCAACAAUCAACUCAUCGUGCAACCCAAUAAGCCAUGCAAAACGGUCUACAAGUGUCACCAGUCUGAUCAGUGGGGUCAAUGAGUUGACCCUACUGCUGCAUCUCUACAAUGACUGACCCAUUAAUAACACAUCAUCAGAUCAAUACUCUCAUUAGAUCUGUCCACCCAGCAAGGAGUGUGUGUGUUUCUAUUUGUCUUUGGUUCUUCUCCUGCUGUUUCCCUGCAGCUUGUCCGCCAUUCAAUUGUUACCCAAUCAGUAACUACAAUACAGAAGAGGAGUAUUCUCUGUACAACUCAUUUAAUUGCUGAUAUCCUGGUUGUCCACCAGGGGAGAUUGAUGAUAUCCUGGUUGUCCACCAGGGGAGAUUGAUGAUAUCCUGGUUGUCCACCAGGGGAGAUUGAUGAUAUCCUGGUUGUCCACCAGGGGAGAUUGAUGAUAUCCUGGUUGUCCACCAGGGGAGAUUGAUGAUAUCCUGGUUGUCCACCAGGGGAGAUUGAUGAUAUCCUGGUUGUCCACCAGGGGAGAUUGAUGAUAUCCUGGUUGUUCACCAGGGGAGAUUGAUGAUAUCCUGGUUGUCCACCAGGGGAGAUUGAUGAUAUCCUGGUUGUCCACCAGGGGAGAUUGAUGAUAUCCUGGUUGUCCACCAGGGGAGAUUGAUGAUAUCCUGGUUGUCCACCAGGGGAGAUUGAUGAUAUCCUGGUUGUCCACCAGGGGAGAUUGAUGAUAUCCUGGUUGUCCACCAGGGGAGAUUGAUGAUAUCCUGGUUGUCCACCAGGGGAGAUUGAUGAUAUCCUGGUUGUCCACCAGGGGAGAUUGAUGAUAUCCUGGUUGUCCACCAGGGGAGAUUGAUGAUAUCCUGGUUGUCCACCAGGGGAGAUUGAUGAUAUGCCCGGUUUGGUUGUCAACCAGGGGAGAUUGAUGAUAUGCCCGGUUUGGUUGUCAACCAGGGGAGAUUGAUGAUAUGCCCGGUUUGGUUGUCAACCAGGGGAGAUUGAUGAUAUGCCCGGUUUGGUUGUCAACCAGGGGAGAUUGAUGAUAUGCCCGGUUUGGUUGUCCACCAGGGGAGAUUGAUGAUAUGCCCGGUUUGGUUGUCCACCAGGGGAGAUUGAUGAUAUGCCCGGUUUGGUUGUCCACCAGGGGAGAUUGAUGAUAUGCCCGGUUUGGUUGUCAACCAGGGGAGAUAAUUGGCACUAUGGCAUUCGGGCAGGUGGCGUUCUGCUGGCAUUCACCAAACCCAGAUUCGUCCGUCGGACUGCCAGAUGGUAAAGCGUGGUUCAUCACUCCAGAAAAUGCGUUUCCACUGCUCCAGAGUCCAAUGGUGGUGAGCUUUACACCACUCCAGCCGACACUUGGCAUUGCGCAUGAUGAUCUUAGGCUUGUGUGCGGCUGCUCGGCCAUGGAAACCCACUUCAUAAAUCUCCCAACGCACAGUUCUUUUGCUGACGUUGCCUCCAGAGGCAGUUUGGAACACAGUCGUGAGUGUUGCAGCUGAGGACAGGUGAUUUUUACUCACUUUAUCACUGCGGUCCCGUUCUAUUGAGCUUGUGUGGCCUGCCACUUUGCGGCUGAACCGUUUUGCUCCUAGACAUUUCCACUUCUCAAUAACAGCACUUACACUUUACAGGGGCAGCUCUAGCAGGGCAGAAAUUUGAUGAAUUGACUUGUUGGAAAGGUGGCAUCCUAUGACAGUGCCACGUUGAAAGUCACUGAGCUCUUUAGUACGGGCCAUUAUACUGCCAAUGUUUGUCUAUGGAGAUUGCAUGACGGUGUGUGUGAUUUUUAUACACCUGUCAGCAACGGGUGUGGCUGAAAUGGACAAAUCCAGCAAUUUGAAGGUGUCCACAUACCUUUGGGCAUGUAGUGUAUAUCAUCCUUGUCCUUUUUCAGCCACGACUCCAAGGAACAUAGAAUAUUACAGUUCUUCAGGUCCCGUUGAUAGGAUAGUCUCCAACUGGAGCUUGUCCAGCUUGUUCUCUAGUGACUACUUUCGCCAAUAGAACAGAGGGUAGAGGAGGUUUAUUUGCUUGCUAAAGUUGUCUCGUCAGGAUGUCUGCCUCCUGUGCCGUCACUUACUCUUUCGAGUCCCGUCUGAUGACGAGCGAGUGGAGGACAAUCUCAUUUCAUACAGGUGCAUUAGUUUCAUCUUCUCGCCGCUGCUCCUCCAUUACCUUUGACCUUUUUUCCAAAAAGAGGCGAGGAAAACCAAUUGAGAUUUUCCCCAGGACUCAGACACUUUCAGCUGCAGCAAGCAGGAAGUCCAUAUUUAGAGAUACGGCGCUGCCCUCUAGAGUCAGAGAAUCUAAUUGUAUGCUGUUCAUCAUCCGCUGUAACGACAGUACCAUUGAUAGAGUUUAUUCAGUGGCAUCAUGCAAGGUUGUGUUGCAGUGUUUUGAAAAGGAACUCCAUCAAUAUUAAC